rnacentral:ncRNA from 1 species
UUUGAUAGAGGCGCGGAGAUCAUCAGUAGCGCAGGUUCGGCUCACCGAGGCUUUGGACUGUGUGAAAGGGAGAUUCGCCGAAAUGGAAACGGGCGGUGCCGUUUACCGUUGGGCUGCGGGAGAACAUGUCGCAGACUGUCGCUUCGAAUUUGCGGAGCGGAGGGCUAUUGGGU